rnacentral:rRNA from 1 species
GUUGAGCGGAGGUAGAUGGAGCUUGCUCUAUGUACCUUAGCAGCGAACGGGUGAGUAACACGUAGAUAAUCUGUCCUAUAUUGGGGGAUAGCCCGAUGAAAGUUGGAUUAAUACCGCAUACAGCUAUAUAGUUGCAUGAUUAUAUAGUGAAAGAUUUAUUGAUAUAGGAGGAGUCUGCGGCACAUUAGCUAGUAGGUGAGGUAAGAGCUUACCUAGGCGACGAUGUGUAGCCGGUCUGAGAGGAUGAACGGCCACAAUGGAACUGAGACACGGUCCAUACUCCUACGGGAGGCAGCAGUGGGGAAUAUUGCACAAUGGGGGAAACCCUGAUGCAGCAACGCCGCGUGAGUGAAGAAGGUUUUCGGAUUGUAAAGCUCUGUUAGCAGGGAAGAGGAAGGACGGUACCUGCAGAGGAAGCCACGGCUAACUACGUGCCAGCAGCCGCGGUAAUACGUAGGUGGCAAGCGUUGUUCGGAAUAACUGGGCGUAAAGGAUGCGUAGGCGGUUAAAUAAGUUAUAUGUUAAAUAUAUAGGCUUAACCUGUAGAAAGCAUAUAAAACUGUUUAACUAGAGUGCAGGAGAGGUAAGUGGAAUUCCUAGUGUAGCGGUGAAAUGCGUAGAGAUUAGGAAGAACACCAGUGGCGAAGGCGACUUACUGGACUGUA